rnacentral:rRNA from 1 species
AUUGAACGCUGGCGGCAGGCCUAACACAUGCAAGUCGAGCGAGCGGCGGACGGGUGAGAAAUGUCUGGGAAACUGCCUGAGGGAGGGGGAGAACUACUGGAAACGGUAGCUAAUACCCCAUAACAUCAGAUGUGCCCAGAUGGGAUGAGCUAGUGGGGGGGGUAACGGCUCACCUAGGCGACGAUCCCUAGCUGGUCUGAGAGGAUGACCAGCCACACUGGAACUGAGACACGGUCCAGACUCCUACGGGAGGCAGCAGUGGGGAAUAUUGCACAAUGGGCGCAAGCCUGAUGCAGCCAUGCCGCGUGUGUGAAGAAGGCCUUCGGGUUGGAAAGUACUUUCAGCGGGGAGGCGUUACCCGCAGAAGAAGCACCGGCUAACUCCGUGCCAGCAGCCGCGGUAAUAC